AUGAAGCAAUCAUCAUUAGCGUACUCAGUAUCGCUUGUAAUAUCAUUUGAAAAGAAGAUGGUGUUGUUAAUUGAUGAAUUUUUGGCUGAGAUGCCUAAGCUGACUGGGAUACUUGAGCUUGUUGAGAUGCUUGAGCUGGCUGGGAUGCUUGAGCUGGCUGAGAUGUCUGAGCUGACUGAGAUGCUUGAGCUGGCUGAGAUGCUUGAGCUGGCUGAGAUGCUUGAGCUGGCUGGGAUGAUUGACUAG